UCCCUGGUGGCUCAGACGGUAAAGCAUCUGCCUACAAUGCAGGAGACCUGGGUUCAAUCCCUGUGUUGGGAA
rnacentral:tRNA from 1 species